AUCGCAGAGACCUUGUCAAAGACGAGAGAGACGUUGUCCAUGAUCAGAGACAUUGUCCCAUGCUUCGCAGAGCUCUGCGCAAGAAUCGGUAGAGACACUGUGGUUCCUCGAUUCGACGGCAUGACCGCGAUCAUGGAGAUAUUUGUCGAUGAUUACAGAGACACCGUCUAUGAUCUCAGAGACAUCGUCCACGAUCACAAAGACAUUGUCCAUGAUCACAGAGACUUUGUCCAUAAUCUCAGAGACAUUGUCCGCGAUCACAGAGACGUAGUCCACGAUCACAGAGUCUUCGUACAAUGAAGAAGUUCUUUGAGACCAGGACAGAGGCCUCCAGGUGUCACCACUUCAUCCACAACAUCAUCUACGAUCGCCGAGACAUGGUCCAUGGUCGGAGAGACAUUGUUGAGGAUGAGGGAGACAUCGUCCACGAUCAGAGACAUUGUCCACGAUCGCAGAGACCUUGUCAAAGACGAGAGAGACGUUGUCCAUGAUCAGAGACAUUGUCCCAUGCUUCGCAGAGCUCUGCGCAAGAAUCGGUAGAGACACUGUGGUUCCUCGAUUCGACGGCAUGACCGCGAUCAUGGAGAUAUUUGUCGAUGAUUACAGAGACACCGUCUAUGAUCUCAGAGACAUCGUCCACGAUCACAAAGACAUUGUCCAUGAUCACAGAGACUUUGUCCAUAAUCUCAGAGACAUUGUCCGCGAUCACAGAGACGUAGUCCACGAUCACAGAGUCUUCGUACAAUGAAGAAGUUCUUUGAGACCAGGACAGAGGCCUCCAGGUGUCACCACUUCAUCCACAACAUCAUCUACGAUCGCCGAGACAUGGUCCAUGGUCGGAGAGACAUUGUUGAGGAUGAGGGAGACAUCGUCCACGAUCAGAGACAUUGUCCACGAUCGCAGAGACCUUGUCAAAGACGAGAGAGACGUUGUCCAUGAUCAGAGACAUUGUCCCAUGCUUCGCAGAGCUCUGCGCAAGAAUCGGUAGAGACACUGUGGUUCCUCGAUUCGACGGCAUGACCGCGAUCAUGGAGAUAUUUGUCGAUGAUUACAGAGACACCGUCUAUGAUCUCAGAGACAUCGUCCACGAUCACAAAGACAUUGUCCAUGAUCACAGAGACUUUGUCCAUAAUCUCAGAGACUUUGUCCGCGAUCACAGAGACGUAGUCCACGAUCAAAGAGAGUCUUCGUACAAUGAAGAAGUUCUUUGAGACCAGGACAGAGGCCUCCAGGUGUCACCACUUCAUCCACAACAUCAUCUACGAUCGCCGAGACAUGGUCCAUGGUCGGAGAGACAUUGUUGAGGAUGAGGGAGACAUCGUCCACGAUCAGAGACAUUGUCCACGAUCGCAGAGACCUUGUCAAAGACGAGAGAGACGUUGUCCAUGAUCAGAGACAUUGUCCCAUGCUUCGCAGAGCUCUGCGCAAGAAUCGGUAGAGACACUGUGGUUCCUCGAUUCGACGGCAUGACCGCGAUCAUGGAGAUAUUUGUCGAUGAUUACAGAGACACCGUCUAUGAUCUCAGAGACAUCGUCCACGAUCACAAAGACAUUGUCCAUGAUCACAGAGACUUUGUCCAUAAUCUCAGAGACAUUGUCCGCGAUCACAGAGACGUAGUCCACGAUCACAGAGUCUUCGUACAAUGAAGAAGUUCUUUGAGACCAGGACAGAGGCCUCCAGGUGUCACCACUUCAUCCACAACAUCAUCUACGAUCGCCGAGACAUGGUCCAUGGUCGGAGAGACAUUGUUGAGGAUGAGGGAGACAUCGUCCACGAUCAGAGACACUGUCCACGAUCGCAGAGACCUUGUCAAAGACGAGAGAGACGUUGUCCAUGAUCAGAGACAUUGUCCCAUGCUUCGCAGAGCUCUGCGCAAGAAUCGGUAGAGACACUGUGGUUCCUCGAUUCGACGGCAUGACCGCGAUCAUGGAGAUAUUUGUCGAUGAUUACAGAGACACCGUCUAUGAUCUCAGAGACAUCGUCCACGAUCACAAAGACAUUGUCCAUGAUCACAGAGACUUUGUCCAUAAUCUCAGAGACUUUGUCCGCGAUCACAGAGACGUAGUCCACGAUCAAAGAGAGUCUUCGUACAAUGAAGAAGUUCUUUGAGACCAGGACAGAGGCCUCCAGGUGUCACCACUUCAUCCACAACAUCAUCUACGAUCGCCGAGACAUGGUCCAUGGUCGGAGAGACAUUGUUGAGGAUGAGGGAGACAUCGUCCACGAUCAGAGACAUUGUCCACGAUCGCAGAGACCUUGUCAAAGACGAGAGAGACGUUGUCCAUGAUCAGAGACAUUGUCCCAUGCUUCGCAGAGCUCUGCGCAAGAAUCGGUAGAGACACUGUGGUUCCUCGAUUCGACGGCAUGACCGCGAUCAUGGAGAUAUUUGUCGAUGAUUACAGAGACACCGUCUAUGAUCUCAGAGACAUCGUCCACGAUCACAAAGACAUUGUCCAUGAUCACAGAGACUUUGUCCAUAAUCUCAGAGACAUUGUCCGCGAUCACAGAGACGUAGUCCACGAUCACAGAGUCUUCGUACAAUGAAGAAGUUCUUUGAGACCAGGACAGAGGCCUCCAGGUGUCACCACUUCAUCCACAACAUCAUCUACGAUCGCCGAGACAUGGUCCAUGGUCGGAGAGACAUUGUUGAGGAUGAGGGAGACAUCGUCCACGAUCAGAGACACUGUCCACGAUCGCAGAGACCUUGUCAAAGACGAGAGAGACGUUGUCCAUGAUCAGAGACAUUGUCCCAUGCUUCGCAGAGCUCUGCGCAAGAAUCGGUAGAGACACUGUGGUUCCUCGAUUCGACGGCAUGACCGCGAUCAUGGAGAUAUUUGUCGAUGAUUACAGAGACACCGUCUAUGAUCUCAGAGACAUCGUCCACGAUCACAAAGACAUUGUCCAUGAUCACAGAGACUUUGUCCAUAAUCUCAGAGACUUUGUCCGCGAUCACAGAGACGUAGUCCACGAUCAAAGAGAGUCUUCGUACAAUGAAGAAGUUCUUUGAGACCAGGACAGAGGCCUCCAGGUGUCACCACUUCAUCCACGACAUCAUCUACGAUCGCCGAGACAUGGUCCAUGGUCGGAGAGACAUUGUUGAGGAUGAGGGAGACAUCGUCCACGAUCAGAGACACUGUCCACGAUCGCAGAGACCUUGUCAAAGACGAGAGAGACGUUGUCCAUGAUCAGAGACAUUGUCCCAUGCUUCGCAGAGCUCUGCGCAAGAAUCGGUAGAGACACUGUGGUUCCUCGAUUCGACGGCAUGACCGCGAUCAUGGAGAUAUUUGUCGAUGAUUACAGAGACACCGUCUAUGAUCUCAGAGACAUCGUCCACGAUCACAAAGACAUUGUCCAUGAUCAAAGAGACUUUGUCCAUAAUCUCAGAGACAUUGUCUGCGAUCACAGAGACGUAGUCCACGAUCGCAGAGACAUGGUCCACGAUUGGAGAGACAUUGUCCUUGACGAAUGGGGACUUGGUCCCAGAUUAGUCAGAGACAUUGAAGAAUUUCCUUGAGACCAGGACAGAGGCCU